rnacentral:rRNA from 1 species
UCGCGGUAGAGGAGCGUCGUGUAAGCCGAUGAAGGUGUGUUGAGAAGCAUGCUGGAGGUAUCACGAGUGCGAAUGCUGACAUGAGUAACGACAAGGGGAGUGAAAAACUCCCCCGCCGGAAGACCAAGGGUUUCUGUUCGACGCUAAUCGGAGCAGAGUGAGUCGGCCCCUAAGGCGAGGCCGAAAGGCGUAGUCGAUGGGAAACGGGUCAAUAUUCCCGUACCUCACAGUAUUGCGAUGGGGGGACGAAGAAGGCUAGGUGAGCCAGGCGUUGGUUGUCCUGGUGAAAGCCGGUAGGCUGAGGAUUCAGGUAAAUCCGGAUCCUCAAGGCCGAGAGGCGAGACGAACUGACUACGGUCAGGAAGUCAUCGAUGCCACGCUUCCAGGAAAAGCCUCUAAGCUUCAGAUACUGUGAGACCGUACCCCAAACCGACACAGGUGGUCAGGUAGAGAAUACCAAGGCGCUUGAGAGAACUCGGGUGAAGGAACUAGGCAAAAUGGUGCCGUAACUUCGGGAGAAGGCACGCCGCAUUAGGGUGAAGGUCCUCGCGACCGGAGCCUGACGCGGUCGAAGAUACCAGGUGGCUGCAACUGUUUAUUAAAAACACAGCACUCUGCAAACGCGCAAGCGGACGUAUAGGGUGUGACGCCUGCCCGGUGCCGGAAGGUUAAGUGAUGGUGUUAGCUCACGCGAAGCUCCUGAUCGAAGCCCCGGUAAACGGCGGCCGUAACUAUAACGGUCCUAAGGUAGCGAAAUUCCUUGUCGGGUAAGUUCCGACCUGCACGAAUGGCGUAAUGAUGGCCACGCUGUCUCCACCCGAGACUCAGUGAAAUUGAAAUCGCAGUGAAGAUGCUGUGUACCCGCGGCUAGACGGAAAGACCCCGUGAACCUUUACUACAGCUUCACACUGGACGCUGAUGUUGCUUGUGUAGGAUAGCUGGGAGGCUUUGAAACCCUGUCGCCAGAUGGGGUGGAGCCAACCUUGAAAUACCAGCCUGGCAUCAUUGGCGUUCUAACUCAGGACCGUAAUCCGGUUCGAGGACCGUGUGUGGUGGGUAGUUUGACUGGGGCGGUCUCCUCCCAAAGAGUAACGGAGGAGCACGAAGGUACCCUCAGCACGGUUGGAAAUCGUGCAGUGAGUGCAAGAGCAUAAGGGUGCUUAACUGCGAGACAGACACGUCGAGCAGAUACGAAAGUAGGUUCUAGUGAUCCGGUGGUUCUGUAUGGAAGGGCCAUCGCUCAACGGAUAAAAGGUACUCCGGGGAUAACAGGCUGAUACCGCCCAAGAGUUCACAUCGACGGCGGUGUUUGGCACCUCGAUGUCGGCUCAUCACAUCCUGGGGCUGAAGUCGGUCCCAAGGGUAUGGCUGUUCGCCAUUUAAAGUGGUACGCGAGCUGGGUUUAGAACGUCGUGAGACAGUUCGGUCCCUAUCUGCCGUGGGCGUUGGAGAUUUGAGAAGCGCUGCUCCUAGUACGAGAGGACCGGAGUGGACGUACCUCUGGUGUUCCGGUUGUCACGCCAGUGGCAUUGCCGGGUAGCUAUGUACGGACGGGAUAACCGCUGAAAGCAUCUAAGCGGGAAGCCCCCUUCAAGAUGAGAUCUCCCUGAGGCCUUGAGCCUCCUAAAGGACCCAGCAAGACCAGCUGGUUGAUAGGCCGGGUGUGGAAGCGCUGCAAGGCGUUGAGCUAACCGGUACUAAUGGUCCGUGAGGCUUGACCAUA